ensembl:miRNA MIR363 microRNA 363
CUUUGUUUUGCUGUUGUCGGGUGGAUCACGAUGCAAUUUUGAUUAGUUUAGCAGGAGAAAAAUUGCACGGUAUCCAUCUGUAAACCGCAGGACCUUC